AAUGUAUAGAAAAAUUCAUGUUAAAAGAAAAGAGGAAGAGAAAUUAAUACGAUAAAUUCCGUUUAAAAAUCCCCUUCUUUUACACAGAAUUCUUACCUGAGUUUAUUACCUACUAUAGAUUGAAAAUGACAUAAAACUGAAUGGACAUGGAGAGUUAAAAAGAAAGUGAUGAUAAACUGGCUACCCAGGAAUUGGAUCAAAUAACAAAAUUGGUUGCACAGAAAUUGCGUUUUAGUAAUGUCCGUUUAAAGAAUUUGCAUGAAAAUAAACUUGAAGAUACAACCCAAAAUGAAGAGGGAUUGAACUACAUUUCGAGGAAAAUAGAGGAAACUGCAGCUGGUAUUAUUAAAUUUACAAUUCAAACAGCAGAAUUACAUAACAACAUGCAACAAUGGAGAGAGCUUGCAAAUAUGCCUACUAAACGUGAGGCAACGGGAAGAAACAAUGUUCAAGCCACAGACAGCGAAAUUGACAGUUCAAUUUACAGUGGCACUUCCAUGGUUAUGGACAGUAAUGACUUUACUGGAAUACAAGAUACAAAUAUCCACACCAAUCUAGUUCAUUCAUUACCUCUGAGGCAAGUUUUAAUACAUAUUAACUACAGGGGCUCUUAUAUUACAACUUAUUUGCAAGUACACGGGGG